UGCAAGUCGAGCGGUAGAGAGAAGCUUGCUUCUCUUGAGAGCGGCGGACGGGUGAGUAAUGCCUAGGAAUCUGCCUGGUAGUGGGGGAUAACGUUCGGAAACGGACGCUAAUACCGCAUACGUCCUACGGGAGAAAGCAGGGGACCUUCGGGCCUUGCGCUAUCAGAUGAGCCUAGGUCGGAUUAGCUAGUUGGUGAGGUAAUGGCUCACCAAGGCGACGAUCCGUAACUGGUCUGAGAGGAUGAUCAGUCACACUGGAACUGAGACACGGUCCAGACUCCUACGGGAGGCAGCAGUGGGGAAUAUUGGACAAUGGGCGAAAGCCUGAUCCAGCCAUGCCGCGUGUGUGAAGAAGGUCUUCGGAUUGUAAAGCACUUUAAGUUGGGAGGAAGAGCAGUUACCUAAUACGUGAUUGUUUUGACGUUACCGACAGAAUAAGCACCGGCUAACUCUGUGCCAGCAGCCGCGGUAAUACAGAGGGUGCAAGCGUUAAUCGGAAUUACUGGGCGUAAAGCGCGCGUAGGUGGUUAGUUAAGUUGGAUGUGAAAUCCCCGGGCUCAACCUGGGAACUGCAUUCAAAACUGACUGACUAGAGUAUGGUAGAGGGUGGUGGAAUUUCCUGUGUAGCGGUG
rnacentral:rRNA from 1 species